rnacentral:rRNA from 1 species
AUGGUCAACACCCCAGUCCUCGCAUUGCCGGAUUUCACACGCCCCUUCUCCAUCGAGACAGAUGCAUGCGAUACUGGUGUCGAAGCAGUGCUGGUACAGGAUGGCCACCCCGUGGCUUAUCUUAGCAAGGCCUUGGGGGUACGGAACCAGCGUCUCUCCAUCUACGAGAAGGAGUUCCUCGCCGUGAUCAUGGCCGUCAACAAGUGGCGCUCCUACCUCCAGCGUGCUCCAUUUGUCAUCGUCACCGACCACAAGAGCUUCUGUACUCUGGGCGAGCAGCAGCUGGAUACGGAGCUCCAGCGCAAGGCUAUGUCCAAGCUAGUUUGCCUCCAGUUCUCCUUCAAGUACAGGCGCGGCGUCGAGAACGGCGCUGCCGAUGCCCUCUCGCGU